rnacentral:rRNA from 1 species
GAUGAACGCUAGCGGGAGGCCUAACACAUGCAAGCCGAGCGGUAUUGUUUCUUCGGAAAUGAGAGAGCGGCGUACGGGUGCGGAACACGUGUGCAACCUGCCUUUAUCUGGGGGAUAGCCUUUCGAAAGGAAGAUUAAUACUCCAUAAUAUAUUGAACGGCAUCGUUUAAUAUUGAAAGCUCCGGCGGAUAGAGAUGGGCACGCGCAAGAUUAGCUAGUUGGUGAGGUAACGGCUCACCAAGGCGAUGAUCUUUAGGGGGCCUGAGAGGGUGAUCCCCCACACUGGUACUGAGACACGGACCAGACUCCUACGGGAGGCAGCAGUGAGGAAUAUUGGUCAAUGGGUGCAAGCCUGAACCAGCCAUCCCGCGUGAAGGACGACUGCCCUAUGGGUUGUAAACUUCUUUUGUAUAGGGAUAAACCUACCCUCGUGAGGGUAGCUGAAGGUACUAUACGAAUAAGCACCGGCUAACUCCGUGCCAGCAGCCGCCGCGGUAA